AGGGGUGUCGGUCAGUGGUAGGCCUGCAGACUCCAAAUCUGCUAACGGGGGUUCGAUUCCCUCCACCCCUG
rfam:Microgenomates (Woesebacteria) bacterium GW2011_GWC2_45_9 TX25_C0050, whole genome shotgun sequence.